rnacentral:lncRNA from 1 species
GCUUCAAUCAAGACUUCAUAAAAGACCAGGCCCCCUUGUUAGUUUACAAAAAAAGGGAGCUUCGGAAAUGGAAGUGGAGUCUGUCUUGCUUGCUUUGCUGUUGAUAAAUGCCCUUACGUUUUCGCAGCUUAAUCUGGCAGUUGAGGCGGCUGAGUCUGUUCCUCUAUCACCAUCGGAUGAUUUCUCGAAAGAGUUGAAAGCUUUAUCUAGGAGGAGUCGGCGAAUAACUCCACCAUCACCCAGGAUUAAUGCUCCUGUUCACUUCAAAAGCCCUCCUCCAUCACCUCGACCUCCUCCGCCGCCACGGUCACCACCACCUCCAUGUCUGUGGCGUCCACCUACUGCGUUUGGAUAAGACGAUUGUUUCCCAGGUUACACACAGUUGAUGAAGCUCUCAUGUCAUCAGCUUUUGUUUGUAAAUUGUAAAACUUUAAAGUGCUUGUAUGUUAGCAGCAAAUACCAACUUUGUUUAGCUCUGAUAAUAAUUAAAUUUGUAAUGAUAAAAAUAAUAAUAUGUUAAAUAUAAAAAUGAAUAAAUGUAUGCAUCACUUUCACUUAAACACUCUUUAAGAAAUUGUUUAAUAAGUAUCCCUUGUCUUCCCUUCCCAUCUCUUUGAAGUCUCCCGACCAUCUCUAUAUGUAGCAUAAAUGAUGAGCAGCCCUCCAUCAACGAGGACCCGGGUCCUCAAAGGCCAACUCAAAAAAGCAUCUCAAUCUAAGAGAGGAGGGUAGCCUUUUCAGUGCAGUGCUUUCAGGGUUGAAUGAGCAUCGAGGUCUUUCGAGAUUGGGGUUUUCUCGUAGGAAAAAAAUGAAAAAAUCAUCUUGAUAAUAGUCCUUUUAUAGAUCGGGUGGACAAAGGAAUAGCAAGCCUUUGGAAGGAAGAAAAAGCUAACAUAUGGACGAAGAUCGGGUGAAUGAGAUAAUUCCCAGAUUCAUUUCAAAAACCUCUAGAUUAGCCUUGGCCGAACACAGGUAAACCGUCCAGACCCCACUCAAACCAUAGUCCCCUCAAAGGCCAACUCAAAAACAACAAUCUCUACGUCUAUGGAGCCUGGACUGCAGAAACUGAGAAACCUCCAAUUCCAAGCUCCCUGGUUCGGUGCAACUUGGACUUUCUGGGAAGGGCAUUAAAUACCCAACCAACAUAUUUAUUUUGGCCACUUCACUGUAGAGGGAUCAUGGGUCGAGUUUGUGCCGGGUUCAGAUAAAAUUUUAGGCCCGUUUUAUUAGCCCGGAUCUGACUCGGUCUGGCCCAAAAUAUAGAUAUAAAAAUUUAUCUAAACUUGGCCCGAAAAAAUUAUUAAGCCCGAGCCUGACUCGGCCUAUAUUAAUUUUUUUAACUUAUUUCAUUAAAUAAAAAAUUUAAAACAAAUAUUAAAACAAAAAACAAAUAAAAAAUGAGACUAAAACAAUUCUUAAAACAAUACACAAAUUGAAAAUAUAAUAAAAAGUGAUUAUAUUAAAAUUGAAACAAAUUAGAACUAAAAUAAUAACUAAAUUAAUAAUAAAACAAAAGUAUAUUUGAUUAAAUAUAAAAUAUAUAUAUUUAAUAUAUAAUUCGUGCCAAGCCGGGCCGGGUCUAGCCCAAAAAAAUUUUACCUAAGGCUUAGCCCGUUUUCUAAACGGACCUCAUUUUUUUGGCCUAAACUUAUAUUUUGAACAUAUAUUUUUAUCUAAAUCUUUUUAUUUUUCAAGUAGACUAUCGGACCAGGCUAAAUAACUUAACCCAUGAUCACUUCUACUCCACUUCAGUAAUCAUUUGACUGCAGCCAAACCAAUAUCAAGUUGAUGGGACUGGGGGUCAAAAUUCAUGCACCAAGCAAUCUACGCUGCUAGACCCAAGACCAUUCUUCAGCUUGAUGAGCCCAAUGACCAGAGCCAAUGCUCUACGACUAGCUCCAUGAAACCCAAAAUGCAGCAAGAGACUCAUUGUAACGCCCCACUUUUGUUGUGUUUAGAUUGUUAAAGUAUGUUAAAUAAUUUAAUCUGGUAUGUGGUUAAGCGUCUUAAAUGUUUGUUUUAGGUCUUGACUUUAAUUCUUUUAUUUUGGAUUUUUUAUUAAUUUUGAUGUUAUGUUAAGCUUGACUUUUUAGGCUUAUCUUUUUAUUUUAUUAGAUUGUUGAUAAGGAUGAGCUUAUUAGUCUAGUAAACCGUCCAUUAUUCUCUCACCCCCUUUCACCUUUUUUCUCCCUGUUAUUGUUUUCUAUUUGGUUCUUUCCUCUCUUUUUUCUUUUUUUCCUCUUUGAGCUUUUUUCUUUUCUUUUGCUUUGAAUCUCCGAUUUCGAUUAUAAUCCAAAGAUAACGUAAGUUUUGUUAAAUUAUUUUGUUGUUAUUUUGGUGUUAAUUCGUUGUGCAAGGGUGAAAUUAUUAGUUUAAUCCUUUUAAUAUAUUAUGAUAAAUAUUCUAUUGAUUCUCUUAUCAGAUUAAAGGGAUGUGAAUCGAAACCCUAAAAUUUUUGGACUAUUUAUUUUAUAAUUUUAAAUGAUAAAAAUAUUAUAUUUUUAUAAAGAUAUAUACUAUUCAAAUGAUGAAAUUAUAUUUUAUUUUAUAAAAUUAAAUUUUAAUUUUAACAUUCUUAAAAAUAUUUUCUACCUUCCCCUCUUCCCUUACCGAUCAUAAACAUGGACAUCAAUCCUAAACAUGGACAUCAUAUGGCGAACAAAAUUUAUAUAAAUUUAAAAUUUUUUAAACACGGUUAUGUUUUUCUCCAGGUUUGUCCUAACCUCACUUGGCACCUUUUCCUCUUACAUAUCUUGAAAUAAGGGAUGUAAAAAAUAUGAAAAAAUUGCAACAAAUAGUUUUGAUAGUAUGCUCCGAGUGUAGCAUUUGGUGUCUGCUGGUUAUUAGUGUUUUCUUGUGUGUGUCGACUGUUGGUGUUUCUUAUGGAGGAGGGGUUAGCAGAUCUGCGUUUAACGGAGGAAGAAGACAAUAAGGAGUUGGAAGCUUGGGAGAUUGAACAGAAUAAGGAGAUAGAAGACUCUUUUUCGGAGUUGUGCUUGGUAGGGUGUUUUCUAACAGCAACUCCGAUAAAUUUUUAGGCUAUGCGGACUGUGAUGGCAAAUCUGUGGCAUUCUUUGGGGGGAGUUUCCAUUGCAGAUGUGGGUGAGAAAAGGUUUGUCUUUCAAUUUUAUUGUGAAAUGGAUUUUGAUAGGGUGGUGAAGGGCGCUCCUUGUACUUUUAACAACCAUUUACUUGUUUUUCAUCACUUAAAACAAGGCAAAGAUCCCUUGGAAGUGGAUUUAUUAUAUACCGAGUUCUGGGUUCAAAUUUAUAAUCUGCCACCUAGUUUCUUUACGGAAGCUAUUGCUAAAUAGUUUGGAGAUUUUAUUAGAGCCUUUGUGGAGUACGAUGUCAAAGCGAUUAUGGAGGGAUUAAGAAAUUAUAUGCGGAUUAGAGUUAAAGUUGAUAUCCGGCAAAGUCUGAAGAGAAGAAAGAAACUUAUUAUGGCAAAAAAAGAGUUCUUUACUAAUUUCAAAUAUGAAAGGUUGUCAACAUUUUGUUUUCUGUGUGGCAAGCUCGGACAUAGUGAGAAUUACUGUCCUAUACGAAUGGUGACAGGGAGAAAGGAGCUUCCUCUUGAAUGGGAUAUCUCGCUCAAAGCUCCUCCACGUAGGGCGGCGACGGUAGGCAGUAUUUGGUUAAGGGAACCAACUGAAAUUUGGGGAGUGUAUCAGGGAAUUUCUAAAAAUGAUGAAGGCAAACAAGGAAAGAAUCUGGGGGAAUUAAAUCUAAUGAGGAAUAAUGGAACGAAUUUGGGGUUGAAUUUAUAUGAAAAAUCAAAACAGAUUGUGAAUGAGGAGUUGGUGUUGAUGGAAGUUGGGUCUACUAAAGAGGAUCGGCCCAUUAUUGGAGGAGAGGGGAAAAAGAGGCCUAGACCCAAUAAUAUUCAAAAUGCCUCUACCACCGAUGAUAUGAUGUGGAAAAAUGGGUUAAUGGAGGAUGUUAAUCAAAUCAACCAUACGGCUGAACCUGCAGGGCAGGUCAACCGAGCAUUAUGAAAAUAUUAAGUUGGAACGUCCGUGGGCUGGAGAACCCACGGUCUGUUCAGAAAAUUCAGCAUGUGCUGAAAAAGUACUGUCCCCAAGUUUAUUUUUUUAUGGAGACAAAAGUAGAGAAAUCGAGAAUGGAAAGGAUAAGAAAGAAAUUUGGUUUUGCGAAUGGGGUGGAUAUUUCAGCUCAAGGAUCACGAGGGGGUCUUUCUUUGAGUUGGUGUAGUUCGAUGGAUGUUACCAUCUCAAGUUAUUCUGGGAAUCACAUUGAUGCAGUUAUUGUUAAUAGUGAUGGGGCGACAAAGUGGAGACUAACAGGGUUUUACGGUAUUCCAGAUUAUCAGUGGAGAGAUAUUUCUUGGGACUUGCUAAAGCGGCUGAGCACGAACAAUGAAUUGCCUUUGGUUGUUGUAGGGAUUUUAAUGAGAUUUUAUUUAGUUCUGAGAAACAAGGAGGUCGAUUGAGGGAAGCAAGGCAAAUGGAGGCUUUUCGAUCAGCUUUGGAAGAUUGUGAGCUGGUGGAUAUAGGGUAUUGCGGCCGAUGGUACACGUGGGAAAAGGGGAAUUUUGAGGCAAAUAAUAUAAUAGAGCGGCUUGAUAGGGGAGUGGCUACUUUGGGUUGGACUGAGAUGUUUCCGUUCUCCCGGCUCCUUCACAUUAAUAAUUCAACUUCUGAUCAUUGUCCUCUAUUGUUGGAUACGGAAUUUUCAACAAGUAAUGGUAAUUCUUCAAAUUCAGGGUGUUUAUUUCGCUUUGAAACUGCUUGGUUGUUAGAAGAUUCUUGUCAUGAGUAGGUUAGAUCUUUGUGGGACUCCAAUAAAAAUGUGUUAGUGCCUGAAAGAUUAACACUGAUGGGUGAGGGGCUCCGAAGAUGGGCUAGCCAUUUAAAGAAUGAGAGGGGUGCGAAUAUGAAGAAGCUGUCAGACUAAUUAAAUAAACUGUCUGAGGAAGAUCCUUCAGAUGACAUUCUCGAGGCUAUGAUUAAGACUAAAUUAGAGCUGAAUCUCGAGAUUGAUAAGGAAGAGCUCUAUUGGGAGCAAAGGGCUAGAUCGAAUUGGUUAAGGUAUGAGGAUCGGAACACUAGUUUUUUCCAUAAUCUUGCCUCAAGUAGACGUCGUAAAAAUAAGAUCGCUGGGCUGAAGGACCAAAAUGGGUCCAUCAAAGAUACGGACGAAGAUCUUAUGCGAAUUGCAACCAGUUAUUUUAAAGGACGGUUUGCGAGUGAGGGAAGUAGAGGAGCUCAAAAAUUUUUUGAAGGGGUCCAAAAAAUGAUAACAAUUGAGAUGAAUAGGAUGUUGCUGGAUACUUUCCGGGAGGAUGAAGUUAGGAGGGUGGUCAAGGAGAUGGGGGGAAAUAAAGCUCCCAGUUUUGAUGGCUUCCAUGCAGUGUUUUUUCAAAUAUUUUGGGCGAUUGUAGGCAAGGAUGUUACAAGCUUUUGCCUUAGAGUACUUAAUAGAGAACAACAGCUGAAUGAGGUUAAUUUUACAACGAUUGUUUUAAUCCCUAAAGUCUCAACGCCAGAUUGUAUGACAGAUUUUCGGCCCAUAAACUUAUGUACGGUGCUUUAUAAAAUUAUAGCGAAAGUCAUUGCUAACAGAUUUAAGAGAGUGUUAGAUGGUUGUAUUGAUGAAGCUCAAUGAGCGUUUGUCCCUGGUCGGCUUAUUACGGAUAAUGUCCUUACGGCUUAUGAAAUUAUACACACUUUUAAGAAUAGAAGAAAAUGGAAGAAGGGUUUUUUUGCUUUAAAGCUUGAUAUGAGUAAAGCAUACGACAGAGUUGAAUGGGGAUUUGUCACAGGUAUGAUGAGGAGUAUGGGGUUUGAUGAUAAAUGGGUGGAGUUGAUAAAUCAUUGUAUUUCUUCGGUCUCUUAUGCUGUUACGAUUAACAGAAGCUUGAGUGAGCCUUUUCAACCGAAACGGGGACUCAGACAAGGGGAUCCGUUGAGUCCCUAUUUGUUUCUUAUUUGUACUGAAGGUUUUUCAACAUUACUUAAACUAGCCAAGAGGGAUGGUCUUAUUCAAGGCGCACGUGUUUGUCGGGGGGCCCGAGGGUAACUCUUUUGUUUUUCGCGGAUGAUUACAUUAUCUUUGGAGAAGCAAAUGAGGAUGGCUGCAGGAUAAUGAAGGGAUUUCUUGAUGACUAUGAAAAAGCUUCAGGUCAAAAGAUUAAUUUGGACAAGUCUCAAAUUUUCUUUAGUUCUAACUAUUCUGAAGAAACUAGAGAGCUGUUGACAAAUUAUUUGGGUGUUAGGUCCGUAACGAGCAUGGAAAAGUAUUUGGGUCUGCCUACAAUGGUGGGGAGGAAGAAGAAUGAGGCUUUCCAAAGAUUGUGUGAUAGGCUGAGAACAAGAAUUGAUGGGUGGGGGAGUCGAAUAUUGUCUCAAGGGGGCAAAGAUGUCUUCAUCAAAGCAGUAUUACAGGCCAUACCGAUUUUUUUAAUGUCUUGUUUUUUGCUUCCAAAGUCAUUAUGUGCUGAAAUGGAAAAGAUUAUGAAUCGAUUUUGGUGGGGAAAAGGAGGUAAUAGGCAUGGUUUGCACUGGUCCUGCUGGACUGAUUUAUGUCAGGCUAAAGAGAAUGGGGGUCUAGAGAGAUUACCUGCUGUUAGAGAGGUGGAUAUCGAUCGAUGGAAACCCCCACAAGCUUCAUGGGUAAAAUUGAAUUUUGAUGCAGCCUACAAAGUUCAAUCGAAUAAGUCCCGUUCGGGGUUCAUCAUUAGAAACGAGAAAGGGGAAGUUAUGGGUAGUGGGAUUACUCUUCACUCCAACGUUUUGGAUGCGGGUUUGGCUGAAGCUUUAGCUUGCUAUCAAGGUCUCCUCUUUGCCAAAGAAAUGGGGUUAACAAAAGUAGAGGUUGAAGGAGAUGCACGGGUAGUAAUUGAGAAAAUCAAUCAGGAAGAAAAUGGUAGAGCACAUUUGGACUCGAUUAUAGAAGACAUCAAAGCAUUUGAAAGGUUUUUUCAUCAGAUUAGCGUUAAACAUGUUAGAAGAGAGGUUAAUCGAGUGGCUCAUCUCAUUGCUAGGGAGGGUUACAGUAGAUUAGAAAAUACCUUUUGGAUGGAAGACAUUCCGGCGGUGGCGAAAGAGCUGGUGGCUACUGAAGAGACGAGCAACGUUUUGUAAUCGACAGAAGGUUUUGUUCAAGGGUGUUUGGACUGGGCUGAUAAAUUCAUUGAAAGCCAUGCUUUAGUCACUAGAGAGAUUUACAUGGUGGUCUGGAGCUUUGUUUUACCGGGUUUCCACUUUACUUUUUCUUUUCUAUUGUUGUUUUUUUCAGAUGUUUUUGGUUUCUUUAACUAUUUUGAUUGGGUUUUGUUAGGUUUUAAUGGAAAUCACGGUUUUUAAUCAAAAAAAAUAUGAAAAAAUUGUUCUCUUCAAACUGCAUGCCGUUAAAUUUGGAAGUGCUUGAGGUUUCAUUACGUGUCCAACUGGAGGAAAUAAUAGCAUUAGAUUUUGAAUGGGACAGAAGAGGAAUGCCUACCAUGGAAUUUUGCCUUCUAAAAUUAAACAUACUUGUACUGGAAUGCCUACCUGAAUUGAAAAGUAUUUGCAAUGUUGAUGCAGUGGUGGUUUGUGAAUCCCUUAGAUGGAUUGAUAUAAUAGAUUGUCGGAAAUUAAAAAGGGUGCCUUUUAGUCUUCCCCAAAUCCGAUCAUCUUCACCAACUCUCAUUUUCUAUUUAUGUAGCGAUAGAGGAGUGGUGGAAAUCUGUGAGUAACAUUGGCAUUACUUAUAUUUUCUUGUUUCUAGGCAACUUUGAUGAAUGCAAUUGCAAGCUGUCUUCUUUAUUUGAAUCAAACCUCAUUUCUUUUUUGGUUGUAAUAAGCUUUGGUUAUUGUAUUUUGAUGCUUGUUUAUUGUGUCUUCCUUUUCCAUUCAAUACUUUUCCUUCGUAAUAUUCUAUAUCAACAAGACGAUAUACAUAUUAGAAAAAUUGAGAUAUUUCAAAGGAAUCAAAUAUCAUAUUCUUAAAGAAAGAUUUUGAGAUAUUUGUUUAUAAAUCUUUAUACUUCAUGAGUUAGAGGGAAUCAAGUUGAGAAGGUAGAUUUGUUCAUUAGAUUCAAAAAGUUAUUGUAAUAGAUUUUUGAACCUUUUAGUUUUUAAAAAUAUUUUUUAUUAGAUUUUUUAGAGUCCAAGAAAAAUAAACUUUUUAACUAAUAAAACUUAUAUUUAUCCAAGUUAUAAAUAACUUAAUCGAUUGAAAUUAUUUUUAGUUAAAUCCAAAUUCAUUGAACUAUUUUCAAACUAUUUCACUUACCUUUGCUAUUUUUAGCCAAUAAAAUUCUUAUAUAUAUGGUUGGAAGCCAAUGCAACUUUUGGAUAAAAGCCAAAUUUAUCCUUUAAAAGAUUUUUUUUUUGGAAGAUUCUAGAAUAUAAAAUAAAGAAAUAGGAUAUUAUCUAUAAGACUAGAUAUUAUAUAUGAAUAUUCUAGUUAUUAAAUAUUUGUAAAAUUAAUAGUAAGGAUAUUGACAUGUAUCAACAAUCCAACGGCCACUAAACUCUAUAAAUAGGGGUAAAGGCUUUCAUUCUUGUAAUGAUGUAAGAGAGAAGUGUGUAUCAUAUUAUAAUUGUAUUGUGUAUUAAUAAGAGUGUUUUCUUCUUUUGUAAUUGUAAGUCUCGGUUAAACCUUAAGUUUCUAAGCACUUAGUGCACUUGGAUUAGCUUUUAUAUACAGUGCACUAAUAAGUUAGAAAAUAAAAGAUUAACCGACUUCAGAAAUUUAGUGUAGCAUUAGUUGUAGGUCCGGCGAAAUAUCAUUAAAGACAGUAUCCAACACGUCUCAAGUUAUUCAACUUUUAUUUUUUAUUCUUUAAAUUGAAUAUUUACAAGAAUACAUACCAACACUUUUAAUUCUUUGAUUUCUAUUCAUAUAUAUUUAUAUCAUCCAUAUUUAUUCAUACAUUCAAAGUUGGGAAAGCAGUUGUGAUUUUGUGAGCUUGGAGUCUUAAUUUAAUCCCAACAAAACCUUAACAAAUCAUCAGCAAAUGAGAUUCAGCUACAAUCGAUUGGAUGAUCAAAGAAUAAAAAUUGUUUCUAUAGUUAUACAUCGUAUCGUGAAGAUUCGAGAAUCCUAAAGGAAUAAUUGAUAAGGGAUUAGAUUGGAAAGGGAUUAAUAGAGGAUAUGGGUAACAUGGAAGCAAACUUUGACAACUGUCAGACUAUACUAAGAACAUUAGUUGAUAAUUGAUUGUUAGAAAAUGUAGGAAAUGGAAGAGUGAAAAUGCAUGAUUUUGUAAUAGAUAUGGCUAAACUAAUCACCAAUGAGUUAUAUGAAUCAUGAAUUAACAUUGCAACUUUAACCUAUGUAUAAUUUAGCUCCAACAUUUAUAUUUUUUUAUUAACUAAAAUGAUACAAUAAAUCAAAAACAAUCAAAACUUAAAUUAAUUAAAAUUAACUUUGUAUUUUUUAUUCUUUAAAGACAGUAUCCAACACGUCUCUAGUUAUUCAACUUGUAUUUUUUAUUCUUUAAAUUGAAUAUUUACAAGAAUACAUACCAACACUUUUAAUUCUUUGAUUUAUAUUCAUAUAUAUUUAUAUCAUCCAUAUUUAUUCAUACAUUCAAAGUUGGGAGAGCUGUUGUGAUUUCAUGAGCUUGGAGUAUUAAUUUAAUCCCAACAAAACCUUAACAAAUCAUCAGCAAAUGAGAUUCAGUUACAACUGAUUGGAUGAUCAAAGAAUAAAAAUUGUUUCUAUAGUUACGCACUGUAUCGUGAAGAUUCGAGAAUUCUAAAGGAAUAAUUGAUAAGGGAUUAGAUUGGAAAGGGAUUAAUAGAGGAUGUGGGUAACAUGGAAGCAAACUUUGCCAAGUGUCAGACUAUCCUAAGAACAUUAGUUGAUAGUUGAUUGUUAGAAAAUGUAGGAAAUGGAAGAGUGAAAAUGCAUGAUUUUGUAAUAGAUAUGGCUAAACUAAUCACCAAUGAGGUUUAUGAAUCAUGAAUUAAUAUUGCAACUUUAACCUAUGUAUAAUCAAGCUCCAACAUUUAUAAUUUUUUAUUAACUAAAAUGAUACAAUAAAUCAAAAACAAUCAAAACUUAAAAUAAUUCGAAUUUAAUAAAAAUCAAAAUUAAAAUUAACUUUGUUGAUAUGGUAAUGCAACUAGAAGACAUGGGGAAGGACAUGGUUGUGAUUAUGGAGGUUGGUUCAUCCAGUUGGGAUAGAGAGCCAAAUACUACAAAGAGUGAGAAUGAAGAGAUAUGCAAACAAAGUGUUGAGGGGAACUUUUUUCAUCGUUCUUAGAAGUAUUUAUUGACGGGGUCCUGCAACAGCCCGAUUUUGGGUCUAGUCGGAACAGUAAUUUCAGGACCACAAAUUCGACGAGAAAAAAUCUAAUCGCCUAAAUUUUCAGGGGUGUCGGAACGGUGAUUCGAGAUCACUGAAUCCGACAAGUAAGUAAAAAAUAUUAUUAAUUUAGUGAGUAUAAGUUAAAUGUGAAGUUAAGAAAAUUUUUGAAAUAGUGAAUAGUGCACUAGAAAUAAAUAUUAAAAUAAUUAGAAUAAAAAACGAGGUAUCGAGACCUCAGAGAUUUUAAACCGAGCCAUAAAUGUUUAUAAAAAUAUUUAUGGAGUGUUAAAAAGUUAGUAUUAAAGUUUCGUUAAGAAAUUUUAAAGUUUCGAUAAUUAAUUGAACAAAAAGGACUAAAUUGUAACAAAUCCAAAAUUAUGGUAAAUGAUUAAAUAGCUUAAAUGAUAAAAGGAAGAGGGCUUAAAAGGAAAAUAGACUCAAUGUCUAUUUGGGCUGGACGGCAAAGGCAUGAAAUCAUCAAGAAUGUACGAAGAAUUAAGGGCAAAAUUGGAAUAUUGCAAAAUUACUUAAUAAAGCUAGGAUCAAAGUGGAAUUAUCGAGAUUUCUCUUUAUUUUUCUGCAUUCUCAUCAGCUAAAACAGCAUAGAAGGGUUUUCUUAAGCUGGUUUUUCAUAUUUUUACUGCAAGUAAGUUCAAUUCUUGAUUAUUUCUUGAAAUUGUUGUGUUUUUGUGACUUUUACAACUAGGCCCACUUGUUGAAUUCAUUAGAUUUUGAUUUUAUGAAAGAAGUUGAAAGUUGCUAUGAAUAUGUGCUGGAAGUAUAUGAUGAUUUAGAAUGGAAUUAGAGCUAUCCUCAGAACACUAGUAGAUAAUUGUUUGUUAGAAAAUGUAGGAAAUGAAAGAGUGAAAAUGCAUGAUCUUGUUAGAGAUUUGGCUAAACUUAUCACUCAUAAGUUGUAUGAAUCAUGAAUUAACAUUGCAACUUUAACACAUGUAUUGUUAAGCUCCAACAUUUAUAUUUUAGAUCAAUUAAAAUCAUACAAUAAAAAACAACCAAUCAAAAUUUAAAAUAAUUCAAAUUUAAUAAAAAUAAAACCUAAAAUUAACUUUAUUGAUAUAGAAAUACAAUAAAGAGGAGAUAUGGGAAAGGACAUGGUGGUGAUUUUGGAGGUUGAUUUACCCACUUGAGAGCGGAGAGCUAAGGACUGCAAAGAGUGAGAUUGAAGAGUGCAUAUAGGCAAAAUGUUGAGGGUAAGUUGAUAGAGUAUAUGUUUGUAUGUUUGGAGAGUCAAUCAUUUCUUCAUCGUUCUUGGGGGUAUUUAUUGGAGAGGGUCUUGUGAAGGUUGUUAACAUGCUAAAUUUGCCAUCUAACCAUCAUUACGGAACGUGUGGGGAGGAUGUCUAUGAUGGGAUGAGAAUGCCUGUGAUGAGACAGAUCUUGUUAUUCAUUAUAAUACAAUAGUGCAGAGUAGUUGAGCUCACACGGGAGUUGGUAACCAACAAUAUCACGUUUUUAACAAAAGGCCAAGGGUUCAAAGUAAUGAGUAGUUCUUGUUUGUCUAGAUAGUUAGGACGAGAGAUGAAACUUGGGGCAGCCUUCCAAUUGGUGGUUGGCAAAUUUGUUGCCUAGGUGACCUUCUAACUUGUCACGUGUCCUUAUUCAAGUAGGAGUAUAAUAAACUCAAUUUUUUAAAGAUGUAAAUUAGUUCAAUCUAAGUUAAACAAGUUAAUUAUAAAAAUUAAUUCACAAAACAUUUAUGUUUUAGGAUUAUUUCCCAAGAUAUUUAUGUUUCUUUUUCUUUUUGAAAGGUACUCAGAUGGCCUAUCAAUAAGAACUUUUUGAACUUUAAAUCCUAAUCUAUUUUUUUUAGACACUAAACUUUAAAUUAAAAUAUUUAAUUAACUUUUAAAGAGCCCACUUUUAAAACAAAAAAGCCUAUGAAAUAUUGAAACCUACGCAACAACCCUUUGAAAUAUAAUAAAAAGCCAUGACAUCACAUGCAUACAAAACUUAUAUAAAUUUAAAAUUUUUAAACACAGUUACGAAGUCAUAAAAAUACAAACAGUCUUUUAAUUAAAUAUGGUAGGUGCAUUAAUUAAAUCUCAAUGCCCACCGAAGUUGACUUAAAGGAGUUGAUAUAUAGGAUUGAUAAAUCAGUUUUUAUGGGCUAUUUUACCAAUCUAGCCUAAAAAAAUUUGAUAUUUACAAAAAUGACAUUGAUUCAAAAACAUUUACUAAAAUAACCUGAAAUGUACAGUAAAAUUAAGUUAUGAGAAAUAGAUAGCCGGCACCACUUUUUUCUAUUAAAAAAAUAAUUUUUGAGGUUUUAGACACUAGAUAUGUAACACCCCCUAACCCUAAACCGUCGCCGGAACAGGGUUAUGAGAUAUUACCGGACAUAUCAAAUAAUUUACAAAUAAUUCUUAAAUAAAUAACCAACAUAUUAUAAUAAUUCAAAAAUUCAUAUAAAUUUUACUAAUUGAUUUCAUUCAUUUUUUUUAUAAAAAUUUCGGCAUCAUUUCUGCUUAUUUUUACAUAAAACCCCCUGCAAAAUUUCAAAACAUAACUAACCCAAUUCCAAUAUUUCAAUCAAGGCAUUUAUAUACUUAAACCUUACUUGACAUAUUGACAUAACAACUUAAUUAAUAAAAAUCCUAUUAUCAUUUCUAAUUAACUCAUAAAACUAAUCAAGUCAUUUCAAUUCGAGACCAAUGCCAUAAAAGACUUCUACUAUUUUACUAAUAUAAUCAUCAAAACACAUAAUAUCUUACUUUACAACAAAACUAUAUAACAUACCAAAAUAACUAUUAUAAUUCUUAUGUACAUGCCACUUUCAUUUAAUGAAGAAAACAUCAUCGAAAUCUCUAUGCAGGAGUUGAGAUUGACCUGGAUGCUAAAUCGAGACUCAGACCCCUUUUUCAACCCGCGCACAGAAACAACCAUACGCUGAGUAUUUUACACUCAGUGGUAUUACCAUAAUUCAAAUUAUAAUAGCAAUAAAGAAUUAUAAUUACGAAGCAUGUAACUAUCCGAUUUCUUAAAUAUCAAUUAAUUCAUAAACUUUCAUUAUUUAACAAUAGCAAUACAAUUUUUUUUAGCUAUUCUUCAUUCUCAAUCACAUAUCACAUGUAGCAAUUUCAAUCACUACAUAAACAUUAAAUUCAUGCAUUUUAUUUUCAAUAUCAAUUUCAAUCUGAAAUUUUAAAUUUUCUCAUAUUCAAUACCACAAUCGAUCAAAUUCAUUUAAUUUUCUCAUUUCAAUUAUUCACCCUAUUAACAAUCUGGACUUUGACGGAUACAUGGAUUCCAACCCAAACACACUAGUACAGCACAUUGUGCCUAAAACGGUACAUAGUACCUGAUCAGUAUACGACACAUAAGUGCCUGAAACGACACACGAGGUGCCUGAUACGACACAUAAAGUGCCUGAUCGGCAAAGCCGAUAAAUCCCGUACUCUUCCAAAUCCUAUGGCAUGCCAACUAUAUCCGACUUAGCCCGACUAGUUAAUAGGGUAUUCAAAUUCUCAAUUCUCUUUGAUUUUCAAUUCAAGAUCACUUUUCCACUUUCUAAUCAAUUAACAAUUUAAUAUCAAUACAUAUUUCAAAUAAUCACAUAUAAUCAUAUUUCAAUUCAAUUCAAACCACUUUUCAAUCAUUACACAAUUCACAUAUUCACACAUAUUCAUAAAUUAAUUCACUUUAUUUAAUUCAUUUUUUAAAUCCAUUUUUUAAUCAAAUUCAAAUCACUAAAUACUUUUUAAUCAAUAUACAUUUCAAAUACUCACAUAUUUCCAUCAUUCAAUUUAAUUUGAUUCAAUUCAAGUCACUAUUAUCAUUCCAAUUGCUUACCUAAUUUUACUUACCAUGCAUUUUAAUUAAAAUAUAACAAUUAAUAAUAAAUAGAUUUGAAUUAUAGUAAUACAAACCCGAAUUUGCUCGAUUAUUCCUCAACGACCUUCUUCUUCCCUUUUUGUGGCGAUACCUCGAAUUAUUUAUUAGCUACGAAAAUUAAAUAAUUAAAUAAUUAAUUACAGCACAAAUUUUACAAUAAAAAUAAAAUUUCUAUCAAAUUUUAUACUUUAAUUCCAAUUUAAUCCUAACUAGAUUUAUCUACUUUUCUAAUCUAAUUCAUACUCUAUUUCUAUUCAAAUUUCUUAUAAACUCAAAUUUAUCUACUAAUUUUCAGCAUUUUUCACUAAUUUUGAAUUUUCCUCAAUUUAAUCCCUAAAAUUCAAAACUUAUAGUUUAGUUUACAAUUCAAUCCUUUAUUCAAUUCCAAAUAAAAUUUCUAUUAAAUAAAUCCUCAAUUCCAUCAUUUAUUCAACAUAAACCCUACUCAAAAAUCUAUUAACUUUCAAAUUUUCAACUUAAAUCCAAGAGUAUUUCAUUCUAGGAUUCCAAAAACAUCAAAUUUAUGAGAAAAGGACUUGAUUUAGUUUACCUAUUAAACUUCAAGCUUCAAAAUCUCAAUUUUCCCCCUUUCUUUUCUUUCCCUUUUCUUCCCCUGUUUUCGUCUCUUUCUCUGUUUCUUUUCUGUUCUUCUUCUCUUUUUCUGUUCUUUUAUUUCAUUUGUUUUCUUUUACUUUUUGUUAUAAUAAUAUAAUAUAUAAUAAUUAGUAUAAAUAUCUUUUACCACACAUGUCAUAUUCAUAACCAUACAUUUGUCUUAAUUUAUUUCACAAUAUAAUAAUAUAGAAUAAUUUAUGCCGCCUCAAAUUUGGCAAUUAGCAUAAUUGCCCAUUUGACCCCUAUUAUUUUCCUUUAAUCUAUAAUUAAACUUUCACUUCUAUUAUAAUUUAAUCCUUUUUACUAAUUACUGUUAAUUAGACUAAAUUCACCUAAUUAAUACCUAAUUAAGCACUAAAUUAAACUCAUGAUUACUUCUAAUAAUUAUUUUCGAACUCAAUUUACUAAGACGGAGGCCCGAUAUUAUACUUUUCCGAUGCCCGUGAAUUUUUGGGUCAUUACAAGAUGGUUGGCACCAUGUAUUUUUUUUCAAAAAAAAUUUUUUUGGGUACUGGCACACUGAUGGCCGGCACCCCUUUAUCUGAUUAAAAAAAUAUUUUUUUGGGGGAAAGUGGUGCCGGCCAACAAAGGGCCAAAAUCACCCAACAAAAAAAAUUGGAAAUAUUUCAACAUAACCCCUCCUUGUUUUCUCAUCUUUUUUAUUUCCCAAAUUUAAUUACAUAUUUUAUAUUUUAAAACAAUAUUGAACUACUUAUCAUAUUUUUUAAUUAUUAUUGCAUCACUCAAAUUAUUAUUAAAUUUAAAAACUAAUUUAAAAUAUAUUGAACUACAUAUUUUAUAAAAUUUAAAAUUUUCAUGAUUGAAUUUUCCAUCUUUUGAAUUUCAUAUUUUUUAAAAAUUUUUGUUUUUAUUUUGUUAAAUGUAACUUGAUUGUUGUUAAACUCAAGUAUAAAUAAUAAAUUAAGCCUAAAAAAAAUAUAUUUAUUUUUAAAAAUAUUUAUUAAUUUUAAUAUUGAAUUUUAUAAUUGUGAAAAUAUAUUAAAAUGCUAAAUACAAUAUCCAAAAUGACAGUAAUUGAUACUAAACUAGUUAAUUUUCAAAUCAAUAAUUUAAAAUUAAUUUAAAUUUAAUAUGCACAAUUAAAUUAUAUGUUUUUUUUAUAAAAUUAGAAUAUGCUUUUAUGAUUUUCAUCCUUUAUAAUAAUUCAAAUAAAUAUUGCUAAAUUAUUUUUUAUUUUAAAAAAUAAUGAGUAAUAUAUUUAUAAAAUAUGUAGUUCAAUAUAUUUUAAAUUAAUUUUUAAAUUUAAUAAUAAUGUGAGUGAUGCAAUACUAAUUAAAAAACAUGAUCAUAUUAUUUUAAAAUAUAAAAUAUGUAAUUAAACUUGGGAAAUAAAAAAGAUGAGAAAACAAGGAGGGGUUAUGUUGCAAUAUUCCCAUUUUUUUUGUUGGGUGAUUUUGGCCCUUUGUUGGCCCACACCACUUUCCCCCAAAAAAUAUUUUUUAAUCAGAUAAAAAGGGUAUCGGCCAUAAGUGUGCUAGCAUCCAAAAAAAAAUUGAAAAAAAAGACAUGGUGCCAGCCAUCUAGUGUCCAAAACCUCAAAAAUUAUUUUUUAAUAGAAAAAAGUGGUGCCGGCCAUCUAUUUCCCAUAACCUAAUUUUACUGUUUAUUUCAAGUCAUUUUGGUGAAUGUUUUUGAAUCAGGGUCAUUUUUAUAAAUAUCAAAUUUUUUUAGGUUAGAUUGGUAAAAUAGCCGUUUUUAUAAUAUCAUCAUUCAUUUUAUUAUUAAAAAUUAAUAAGAUACUUUUAAAAAUUAUGGUUUAUAUAUUUUUUAUAUUAGAAAAUUUUGAUAAUUUAUUUUUUAUUUUACAAACUACUUUAAAAAAUUAAUAUAUAUUUAUUUUUUUAAAUAUUUUAACAACAGUGUAACCAAUAAUUUCAUUACAUUUAAAUAAAAAUAUCUUUUCCCCACCCUUGAAAACUUCAAUCAAGACUUCAUAAAAGACCAGGCCCCCUUGUUAGUUUACAAAAAAAGGGAGCUUCGGAAAUGGAAGUGGAGUCUGUCUUGCUUGCUUUGCUGUUGAUAAAUGCCCUUGCGUUUUCGCAGCUUAAUCUGGCAGUUGAGGCGGCUGAGUCUGUUCCUCUAUCACCAUCGGAUGAUUUCUCGAAAGAGUUGAAAGCUUUGUCUAGGAGGAGUCGGCGAAUAACUCCACCAUCACCCAGGAUUAAUGCUCCUGUUCACUUCAAAAGGCCUCCUCUAUUACCUCGACCUCCUCCGCCGCCACGGUCACCACCACCUCCAUGUCUGUGGCGUCCACCUACUCCGUUUGGAUAAGACGAUUGUUUCCCAGAUUUCACACAAUUGAUGAAGCUCUCAUGUCAUCAGCUUUUGUUUGUAAAUUGUAAAACUUUAAAGUGCUUGUAUGUUAGCAGCAAAUACCAGCUUUGUUUAGCUCUAAUAAUAAUUAAAUUUGUAAUGAUAAAAAUAAUAAUAUGUUAAAUACAAAAAUGAAUAAAUGUAUGCAUCACUUUCACUUAAACACUCGUUAAGAAAUUGUUUAAUAAGUAUCCCUUGUCUUCCCUUCCCAUCUCUUUGAAGUCUCCCGACCAUCUCUAUAUGCAGCAUAAAUGAUGAGCAGCUCCCCAUCAACGAGGACCUGGGUCCUCAAAGGCCAACUAAAAAACAACAAUCUCUACGUCUAUGGAGCCUGGACUGCAGAAACUGAGAAACCUCCAAUUCCAAGCUCCCUGGUUCGGUGCGAAGGGCAUUAAAUACCCAACUACCAUAUUUAUAUUGGCCACUCCACUCUAGAGGUGAUCAUGAACCGGG